CUACGGGGGGCAGCAGUGGGGAAUAUUGGACAAUGGGCGAAAGCCUGAUCCAGCCAUGCCGCGUGUGUGAAGAAGGCCUUCGGGUUGUAAAGCACUUUCAGUGGGGAAGAAAGCCUUGGGGCUAAUACCCUCGAGGAAGGACAUCACCCACAGAAGAAGCACCGGCUAACUCCGUGCCAGCAGCCGCGGUAAUACGGAGGGUGCGAGCGUUAAUCGGAAUUACUGGGCGUAAAGCGCGCGUAGGCGGUCUGAUAAGCCGGUUGUGAAAGCCCCGGGCUCAACCUGGGAACGGCAUCCGGAACUGUCAGGCUAGAGUGCAGGAGAGGAAGGUAGAAUUCCCGGUGUAGCAGUGAAAUGCGUAGAGAUCGGGAGGAAUACCAGUGGCGAAGGCGGCCUUCUGGACUGACACUGACGCUGAGGUGCGAAAGCGUGGGUAGCAAACAGGAUUAGAUACCCGAGUAGUC
rnacentral:rRNA from 1 species